rnacentral:piRNA from 1 species
UGCAGUGACUCAAGAUCGUGCCACUGAA